rnacentral:rRNA from 1 species
GAUGAACGCUAGCUACAGGCCUAACACAUGCAAGUCGAGCGACCGGCGCACGGGUGAGUAACACGUAUCCAACCUGCCCUUUACUCGGGGAUAGCCUUUCGCAAGAAAGAUUACUACCUGAUGUAAAGGAUGGGGAUGCGUUCCAUUAGGUUGUUGGGAAGGUAACGGCUCAGCAAGCCUUCGAUGGCUAGGGGUGCUGAGAGGAAGUUACACCGGAAUGGAGCUAAGGCCCAGUCCAAAAUGCGACGGGAGACAGGAGAAGAGAAUAUUAGUCAAUGAAGGUUGACCUGAACCAGCCAAGUAGCGUAAAGAAUGAAGCGUUAGUAAUCGUAUACUACUUGUGAAUAAGAAUAUGUAUUAUAUGAAGAAGGAUCGGCUAACUCCGUGCCAGCAGCCGCGGUAAUAC